GUGAUACUCCAUAACGGUCUUUGUGUUUUCUUCUCACCAUCAAAGCUUGAUGGCUUUGCUUGCUUUGAAACUAUUAAAUUCGCUGACGGAGAAUAAACAUAUUAAAUAACUGGCCAAAUCAAGCCUAAAAUCAGAUCCAAUUUGAACAUCAUUACCAUUGGAAUUGAUACUGUUUGCACAACUCGGUGAGACUUGGAAAUGCUUAUAGACGAUAUGCUAGCCAGAGGCAGUAAAAGGAAAGUCCCGUGAUACAUCUGUGGGAAAUGUACUUCACAAGAGUUCAACCAUGAGAUUCCCAAACUGCCUCUUCCCACGUUGACACAAAUACUUGGGCCCAUGUGACAUCCUGUGUGGAAGAGGUGAACAAUAACGGACUCCUACGUCAAGACAUGGGAACUGCUCCGUGAGAGACGUACCAUCACACCUCAAACACAUCAAGCCAGUUCCGCACUCGGCUCUUCAGUGUUUACUGUCUCGUCACCAAGGUUCAUUUCCCGCAAUACUGGAAAAAAAUGUGUCAGUGCUGAUCUUUUUUUUUCUCUGUGAAUACUUCAGUGCAGUAUUAAAAAAAAUUAAAAUAAGAUAGAAAAGUGUAUUUAUUGUUUUACUUUGUAGUUUUAUUUUUCAAAAAAAAAAAAAAAUGUUUUCCUUACAAUUUACUUAGCCACAAUUUUUUUCUAGACUGUCUAAAGAUAUUAAAUAAAAUUAAUA